GAGAGAAGGGCAUGUAGCUCAGACCAGAAACCUCUCAUCUAAGUACUGGGAGCUCCAAACUCCGGCCUGCUUCUGUCUAGAAGAAGGAACUGAGCCCCAAGGAAGGAAAGACAUUCGCUCAAGCCCCCAUAAAUAGUAAGUAGCAGAGCUGCCAUCUGAAUCCAAGUUCUCAGUAUACAAGUCCAGGACUUUUUCUCUGCUUCUUCCAAAUUGGGACAUGAAGCAGGGGUUUAGGAGCUGGAGCUGGUAUGGAGUUAGGGAGAAGUAAAAGGAGAAUGAAAUAAGUGACUUAUUUCCAGAAUAAGAUUUAUUUUUUCUAAAACCCCUUACCUUCUGUAUUAGAAUUAAUGCUAAGUAUUGGUUCUAAGGCAGAAGAGUGUGAAGGGUGAGGCAAGGGGGGUUAAGUGACUUGCUAGGAAGUGUCUGUGGCUAGAUUUGAAGCCUGGACCUCCCAUCUCCAUGUCUAACUCUCUAUCCAUUGAGCCACUUAGCUGCUCCCUCCACAAUAAGGUUUUGACUGAGAUGGGAAAGAAAUAUACAUCUCAGCUAGUCUUAAGAGUCUCAUCUUUGUCUUUGACAUGGUGUUGCCUUAUACUUGGCCUCACUGGACUCCCUGACUCUGGCCUCUCCCUUUCUAACCUUCUGAUCUUUCAACAAAUCUAUCAGACUCAGCCAAAGCAUAAUGAAUUACUGUUUGUCUGGUCCUUUUCCCAGAGUUCACUUUUAUUCCAUAUCAGUUGAGUCUGAAUUAGCUUUCCCUUACUUUUAUGAAUAGGAAAAUGGCCGUGACAUUAGCAAAGUAAACUGAAGAGAUUUAACAAGAAUAUCAUUUUCAAAAAGACAUGAUCAUCCAAAAGGCAGUAAAAUAAAAUUGUAAGCAAAUAGCUGUAAGGGUAAAUACUAGAUAAGGCCAUUUUCCCAUAGGUGUUUGCAUAGAUGGUAUAGUUUUAAGGAGUCAUCCAUCUGUGAUAGAGUAAAUUUAAAUUAAGAACUAGAACAAUAGAUUAAUAGAUUUAUUUCCACAGACUACUCAACAAUCCUGCAUAGCUUUUUUUUUUUAAAAAACCACUACCUUUUUGAUGCAGAAAUUGCACUAGUAGGGCUUAAUCUCCAAAGAAAUCAAAGAUAGAAGGAAAGGACCCAUAUACAUGAAAAUAUUGGUAGCUGUACUUUACUGUGAACAUAAAAAACUGGAAACAAAGUGGAUAUUCAUUUACUGAGGCAAGACCAAACAAAGUGUAACAUGUGGCUGUAGUGUAAUAUUAUUCUACUAUUAGAAAUGACAAUAUGAGGAAUUCAGAGAAAAAAAGAAUCUUAUAUAGACUCAUAAAUGAUGUAGAACAUUGUUUACACUCAAACAGUCACCGCCUUGAUUGGUUUUCCUCUGUUACAUAGUUACUGAGUAGACUUGGAUUGACUUCAUAUCAGAAAGUAGUUGGUAUAGAAAACCAAAAAGUAUCAAUAAAAAUUUUACUCCUUAAAAAAAAAGUUCUAGGGGGUUCUGUGGACAGAGAUAUACCCUGGAUACAGGAACUCCUGGGUUCAAAAUUGGCCUCGAACACUUAGAUGUGUGACCUGGGGAAAGCCACAACCCCCAUAUUGUUCUUCUGCCUUGGAAUCAAUAUUUAUUCCAAAAUGGAAGAUAGGGAUAAUUUAGUGAAUUUUCUCAUAUAAUUCCAUUUUUCCCCCAGAAUGUCUGGACCAAUUGGACACAUUUUCACAAACAAUUUCCUAGUGGGUCUGUCUUCCCGGGACUAUAGCACCACCAAUUAUCAGAACUUCACAAAAAAAAAAAAUAGUAUGCUUCUCUUUGCCAUUUCAUAUUUUUCUUUUCCCUAUUUCAGUUCUCCUUCCAUGUUAGGAGAUAUGAUUUGAAUAAAUGCUGAAAGGGAACCUUUGACCCCUUAUGAAAAAUUGCCUAUUGAUGAGCCAGUGGCACUUGAAUAGGCUUUUGCUUCAGUAGGAGCUGUUUGCCAGUAGAUGGUGCUAACAAAAAAUAACAAAGUCAAAAGAUGAGACCUUCAUUUGGGAUUUUGCCUACAUACUUUGUGGCCAAAAUAAACAUAGGAUUGCAUAACUAGAGUUAGAAGAACCGUGGAGACUAUUCCAACUGUCUAAUUUUACAGCACCCAGACCCCAUAAAAGCAACAGUUCUCAUCUCAGUGAGGUGCUAAUGAGCAUGCCUUUUCACAGAAAGAUAUAAUCAAAUCUCUAUCUUUUGAUUGUCCCAUCUUUUAGCUUUUGGGGAGAGAUAAGCCUGGGUCAAACUAUCAAACAUGACUUUAGAGACUAGAUCUAGUCUGUCCUUUCCUCUUAUUCCUAUCCUUCACCCUAUUUCACAUAUGGAAAAACUGAGGGACAGACAUGUUAAAUGACUUACCCAAAGUCACUUAGCUGGUAGAAAUAGGACUAGAUCUCAAGUCUCUAGACUUCUAGCUCAGAGUUCUUUGAACUACCUGUCUGAUCUUCCCUUUCUUCAGAAUGUCACACUUGAAGGAUCGGUUAUUUCAGUUCAAGUCUUGGCUCUGCCAAAUUGUUGUGAAAGUCACAUUUCCUCUUGGGACCUCACUUUUUUCAUCUGUACAAUUGAUAAACUCAAUAAACUCUCAGGUUCCUUUCAUCUCUUAUAGUCUAAACCCACUAUUAGAGGUCAGCUAAGUGGCAUAUUGGAUAUAGUACCCAGGUCUGGAAGUCAGGAAGACUUAAGUUCAAAUGCAGCCUUAGAUACUUACCAGCUUUGACCCUUGGUAAGUCCCUUAACCUCUACUUGCCUCACUCUCCUCUUCUAUAAAACAAAGAUAUGUCAUAAUGAAUGGUUUUCUAUGAAGGAUGAUUUGUAAAUACAUUUACUUACACUGCUAACACCUAAAUUUAUGGAAUUUGUGUCUUGCUGCAUCCCAGACUCUUUUCAUUGUCAGUCAUUUUGACUUUUGUCUUGCCACUGGAUUUCAUGACUCAGGAAGACAGAAUGAGGCUGAUGAUUGCAACUGGGACUUUCUUGAAUCCGGUUCACAUGUCAGUCAAGACAUGGUUCUCUUAAAAAAUGAAGGACAAACAACAAUAAAACAAGAAUAAUAAUUGCCUCUACCUCCCAGGAUUAUCACGAGAAUCAUAAAAAACCUGGAAAGACUUAUAUGAAGUGAUUCAAAGUAAAGUGAGCAAAACUAGGAGAAUACUGUACAUAGUAACAACAAUAAUGUAUGAUGAUCAGCUGUGAAUGAGGUAACUAUGAACAGUAAUGCUUAUUCCAAUGAAUUCAUCAUGAAAAAAGAAGUGGAGUUGAAUGCUGAUUGAAGCAUAUAAUUCUUUACUUCCUUCAUAUAUUUUUCCUUAGUAUAAGAGAUAUAUGUCUUCUUUCACAACAUGACAAUCAUAGAAAUAUGCAUCGCAUGAUAGCACAUGUACAAUCUAUAUUACCUGCCAUCUCAGAGAGGGAGGGAAGGUGGGAAGGAGGGAAUAUCAUUCUUAAAAUGUCAGAAACUGAUUAUUAAAAUUGUAUUGGCAUCUGGAAAAAAUAAUUUAAAACAGAUUUCCUUUCUAUGCCUUCUUACUAAACCUUUUUCCGAGUUCCAAACCUGGCUCUGCACAUAGGGAAAAAACCCUACUCAUUAGUAGUCAAACCACUUAGAUCCUGCCAGAAUGAUAAGACUUGCUUGGUCCUGUUUAAUCAGAGACUUGCCAGCAAUAACUAUCCCCAAGGGUUCCAAGGAGAGGGUGGGGGUCAGCUACGAAGCAAUGGAAUAUAACUUCUCAAUUGCUUUUGUAAACCAGGUCAUUGGGCACUCACUUUAGGAAAGUCCCCACUUACAAGUAAGUCUUACCUAAUACCUCUUAACUCUAGACUUUUCCUCUUUUUUUCCCUACUUAUCCUGAAAAUUGCUCAUUUUUUAUGUGUUUGUUUACAUGCUGCUUCCCCUUUAGAUUGUAAGGUCCUUGAGGGGAGGAACUGUCUUUUGCCCUUUUUUUCUUUUUUGGCACCUCCAGCACUUAGAACAGCACCUGCUGCAUAUAAAUGUUUAUUGUUUGAUUGUUUAUUUUAUGGCCUCCUUUAUUCUACUCCAGACCUUACAUCCAGAAAAGACUGAUCUUGGCAGUCUCUGCUUCUCUGGUCCUGGUUAUAUGACCCUAUAGUUAAAACUUCCUGAUUCAUCUUCCAAACCACGUAUAUAUCUAGAGAACCAAGCUGCUCUCAAAGGCUUGGCUGGAAUACAGAUUGUAGGAAGCCAGCAUCUUGAGAGCUGAAUCAACAGAAGUCCUUUGUGAUUCUUUGAGAAUGACAAUUUUUUUAAAAUUUUAAUAACAAAUUUCCACAUGAGUACUGAAGUUAUGUAAUCCAAAUUAUCUUCCUCCCUUCUUUCCUUUCCCCUCCCAGAGCUGGUAAGCAAUUCACUCUGGGUUAUACAUGUAUUAUCAUACAAAAAAAGGUUUCCAUAUUAUUCAUUUUUGUAAGUGAAUAAUCUUAUGAAACCAAAAUCUCAAAAUAUACCCAAUCAAACAAGUGAUAACUCAUAUGUUUUCAUCUGCAUUUCUAUUCCAACAGUUCUUUCUCUGGAGAUGGAUAGCAUUCUUUGUCAUAAAUCCCUCAGAAUUGUCCCAGAUCAUUUGUUAGUAGCAAAGUCUAUCACAUUUGAUUGUUCCACAAUAUUGCUGUUACUGUUAUUACUGUGUAUAAUGUUCUCCUGGUUCUGCUUAUUUCACUCUGCAUCAGUUCAUGUAAGUCUAUCUGAAAUCAUCCUGUUCAUCAAUUCCUUGUGGCACAAUAAUAUUCCAUCACUAUCACAUACCACAAUUUGUUCAUCUAUUCCCCAAUUAAGGACUUUCACCACAUAGAAAGCAGCUAUAAAUAUUUUUCUACAAAAAGAUGCUUUCCCUUUUUUUUUUAUUUAUUUGGGAUAGAGACCUAGUAGUAGUAAUGCUAGUUCAAAGGGUAUGCAUUGUUUUAUAGCCAUUUGGGCAUCAUUCCAAGCUGCUCUCCAGAAUGGUUGGAUUGGUUCACAACUCCACCAGCAAUGCAUUAGUGUCCCAAUUUUGCCACAUCCCUUCCCAACAUUUAUCAUUUUUCUUUACUAUUAUAUUGGCCAAUCUGAUAGGUGUGAGGUGGUACUUCAGAGUUGUUUUAAUUUGCAUUUUGAGAAUGAUUUUUGUUUGUAGCACAGCUCAUUUCUAAAACAAAAUGGAGUCUCAAUGUCUUGCCUCAGAACAGAACCAUAUUAUUUAGAAGUAAGAACAUGACUGGAUGGGGCAAAGGAGUGAGGAUGAGAGAAAGUCAUGUCCUUCUGAAAGUGGGUAAAUUCCUCAAUGCUAGGCAGAGCAGACCUGGCUCUAGGAAGAGGCCAUAUAGGCCUGAGGAGAUAAGUAUGAACAAAAAAUCUUUGCCUUGCUAUCCUACACAAGCAUUAACAUUUUGGGCCUCUCUGACUGAGUUAUCCUCCUUAUAAAUUUUGUGAGUCUCAUCCAAGUAGGGGUUGAGACCUGGAUGGCACCUCUGACCCAGAACAAACUGGAGCUUAGGUGGUUAAAGCAAUAAGAAGCUAAAAAUCCAUCCUUACCCUUAGGCCAUGAAGAGCCAAUUUCCCAGACUUACCUCCUCUGGGUUCCUAGGUUGUCAGAUCUAACUUGCUCCCAAAUCAACAGUUCCUGAAUAUGCCUUAGAGGCAGUCAGGUGGGGUGAGAAGGCAAGGCAGUUCUGCUGAGGCUGAGGAAUGUGCUCUGAUUAGGAAAGAAGUCAAAUAUUCCAGACCUGUUGUCAGGAGGCAGGAUCUUGGCCGAUGCUCAGCUGAUUCAAACCAACAAGUCUUUCCUGAAUGAUUACUGUGUGCCCAAGCUUGUGUUUGACUAGGCUGUAAGGUAAAGGGGACAUAGUCCUUGUCCUUGUUCAUAGUCUGGGAGAAGACAGAGGGAGAACAGACCUGAGCUGUGGCCCUGGGGGAGUUGAGAGUCUGGGACUGGGACAGCAAAAACUCAGGGACCUCACAGCCUACUAUCAACAAAAGAGCAGGUCCAGCUAAUUUCUGGGGUGCAACUCCAGGCUUAGUUUGAAUCUGUGUUUGACCCCUCAGGAACAAGGCACACAUAGGCUGACUAGGGACAGGUCUGUCUGUAAGGCCAUGCCAUCUCAGAGGAGCUCAGAGAAGAGGAGGACCAGCAGGGACUGGAGUAGUCAGGGGAGACUUCCCUUAGAUAUGGGAUCUGAGCUAACCUUAAAGGGAUAGAAUAGCAUGGUGUCUUGAAUGAGAAGUGUGUGGGGUCUUGAUAUAGCAAGAUGUACCCCCUUGAGUCACUCAAAUAAUCAAGAGAGGCCAGGAUAAGAGGCAGACAGAUGUGGCUUUGUUGCAGAGGAUGGGGAUAUUAUGCUUAAAUCAGAGACUGGAAGAUACACAAACAAACUUCCAAUUUAUAGGUAACUAAUACAAUACUCUCCUCCUGUGCAAAAUAGUACGAAUUGAAGGUUUAUGUGAAAGCCUGGGAGGGGGGAAAAGGAAAAAGGAGAGCAAAGCUGUAUCUAAUUAAGCUAAUGAUUUAAACCUAACCUCUUCUUAGAGUUUCAGAAUCGAAUAUUGUUACUACUGCUAACCCAAAAUAAAUUGAGAAUAAUACUCACUUUCACUCCAUACCAUCAGACCUACGGAAAUGAAAAAAACAGAUCCCAAAUCUCUUUCUCCUGAGUCCACAAAUAGACAAAUAGAUUAAUCUUUUAAGUGUACUGUUCCCAGAGGGGCAGUUAGGUCAGUGCAGUGAAUGGAGAACUGGGCCUGGAGUUCAAAUCCAGAUUCAGAUUUAAUAGCUGUGACCCCAGGUAAAUUACUUAACUUCAGUUGGUCUCAGUUUCCUCAUCUGUAAAAUGAGUUGUGCCUAGUCUACCUCCCAGGACUAUUGUGAUGAUAAAAUGAGAUAAUGACUGUAAAGCACUUAGCACAAUGCCUGGCACAGAGUAAGUGCUAUAUAAAUAUUAGCUUUUAUUAUUAUUAUUAUGACAGAGGCCACUGUCAAAAUAUACAUUACCCAAGAAGGGCACUGACUGAUUUUAAUAUUAGUUGUGAUUAAGGAACUGAGAGAAGGAAUAGAUGUUGGAGGGGAGGAGAAAAAAGAGGAGGGAUAAGAGGGGAUCCUAGUGGAUCCUGGCAAGGAGGAGAAUACUAGGAGAGGAUACCACAAAAGCAAACCUUUCAUGAACUUUACAACUUGUACAUACUUUCUUUAAAAACAACCACAACAAGCACAACCUUUACCUUCCUUCUUAGAAGCAAUGCAGUAUAUUGGUUCCAGGCAGAAGAGCAAUAAGGGCUAGGCACUGGGGGUUAAGUGAUUUAGCCAGGAUCGCCCAGCUAGGAAGUAUCUGAAGUCAAAUUUGAACCUAGGACCCUCCUGACUGGGCCUAGCUCUCAAUCUACCUAGCUGCCCCCUUGGAUAUACUUUCUGAAGUAUUUUCCCCAGAUCUAUAAACCUUUGGAGAUGAGGCAGUCAAAGUAGACACAAAGCUAGUCAUAGAAAGGAAUAUCCCACCAUAGCACUGCUAACCUUUUAAAUCUAAGGACUGGCUGAAGCAGUUGAUUUUAUGCAUUUUCUGUAAAGUCAUUAUAGGAAUUUCCCAAUCGCACAAGGAGUACAGUUGCACUUCUGCAAAGGAGGGGGUGGGGAGGGGAAGAAGGGGAUAGUUUUCAUUCUCUUUCCUCAAGAGAAACUAAAACAUCGAAUGAAAGACUCUGCUGAGAUAGUUUCCUCGGCCAGAGGAGCCAAAGAAAACCGAGACCUGUAACAAGAUCAACUCCUGCUUUCCAUCAAGGAUUCUGAAACCCCAGAUGUAACUUUACCAGUAAGGAAAAGUCGUAUUUGGGACUUUUUUGGAUACAGCAAUUCCUCAAGAAAAAAAUAGGCUUAUUCCAAGGUCUCAGCUUCUCUUUACAUACAUGGAGAGAUCAAUGACUAUUCUUCAAAUAUCCCUCUAUCACCCUAACCAGGACAAAGGGGUCUUUGAAGAGAUCCCGCAUCACCUGCAGCUUGACACCACUCAUCUGAUCAUUGGGAGAGGCAGAAAUGCCCAUCUCAAAUUUAGACUUCCUGGCAUCUCUCGUCACCAUCUAUCCCUAGAGCCAUACCUGGAGAAGGGAAAUGUCUGCCUGACAUUCUGUUUGAAGAUCCUGAGCAGAAGCAGUAGUGUGUGGGUGAAUGGACUGACCCUGAAAUACCUGGAGCAAGUCCCAUUGACGGCAGUCAGCAAGGUCAUAUUUUCUGGAGUCCAGAUGGUAAUUGACAUUCAGGGCGGUGCUUCUAAAGGCAAGUUUGCCUGCUGUAUCCAUUUCAGCUGCUCACCUCUGAUUUACAGGGCAAAGGCAGAAGAGACAGAUGAGUUUGAAGCCAUCCAAGAGGACCCAGAGCUCCCACAAGAGAUGAGGGAGUUGAAUUAAAUUCCAGCAUUUGUGGAGUUUUGGCUUCAAUCUUUAGUAUCUUAGGACAACCAUUCCCCCUGCAGAGCAGGGCAAAGGAGGAGAAGCAGAAAUACAGGCCACAAGGGAGUUUUAGGACAGUAUGUUUAACUAGCCCACUGGGUGAAAACAACUCCCUUGCUGAUUACAAGAACUUAACAUAUUAAAGCAAGUUCCCUAGAGUCUAACAGCAUGGACUAAUUCUAGCAGGAAUAAAAAUGCCUUAAAUGGAAGGUAACUAUAUAACAUCAUAUAUUUUUAAAGGCCCUAUGGGGCCUCCAAGAUGGGGGAAACUAUGUGUAAGCAUGUCUUCAUGUAUGGCGUUUGGUUUUUUCCUCCCCCUAUAUCACUCUUUUGCUUAAAUGCAGGUUAUUUUAUGUUGUUAAUUUUGUGUUCUGUCUCCAGUGUGAUAGAUUUAAGGUUACUGAAGCAAUGUACCAACAUAUGUAGCAAUUAUGUUUGUGGUGUUAUGAAGUUACCUAUGGCUUUCAAAUCCUCAUAUGUACUUAAGGCUUAUGAAAGUCUGUAUUUAAUAAAAAUAUAUGUAUUUCAUUAA